UACGGAGGGUGCAAGCGUUAUCCGGAAUCACUGGGUUUAAAGGGUGCGUAGGCGGUCAGAUAAGUCAGUUGUGAAAUACCCCGGCUUAACCGGAGGAACUGCGAUUGAUACUGUUUGACUUGAAUCAGGUUGAGGUAGGCGGAAUGUGGCAUGUAGCGGUGAAAUGCUUAGAUAUGCCAUAGAACACCGAUUGCGAAGGCAGCUUGCUGGACCUUGAUUGACGCUGAGGCACGAAAGCGUGGGGAGCAAACAGG
rnacentral:rRNA from 1 species